rnacentral:tRNA from 1 species
UCCAGGGUAGCCUAGUGGACAUGGCAUCUGCCCGGUAAGCGGAACACUGUGGGUUCGUUUCCCAUCCUUGGAC